UACUGCUCUGCCAGAAAUGAGAGCCUCCUUAUACAGGGAUCUGCAGCGGCGUUGAGCAUGCUCACUGAAGCAGGGAGAGGAGUUACAGAACAUUCUCACAAGGGGGCGGGGCUUAACAGAACAUUCCUGAAAGGUCACACUGUUCGGUCACAAAACCUUUUGAUACCUUGGGCAGGGGCCGCCCAGCAGCACAAACUGUUACAUCUCUGAAACAAAACAUUCUGUGGGAAAAAAACAUGGAGGCAAGGCGAGGGAAAGGCAAGACCUAUCUUGCCGUGCAUCAUUGCUCUAUCAGUUCACCACAGAUGAGGGUACCACAAGAUCGAGGCUGAAGCAGUGAGGUGGCCGCACCUGGUGGCACCUGCCCCAGUCCCCAGGCUUGGCCACCAUGCUGCAGUCCCAGGACCCUGGCUCCCCGCGAGCUCCCGGCCUGGCUGCUGGCUCCCCUUGGGCCCCUGCUGCUGCACCACUCUGGUCCACGCCUUGAACUCCGGACUCUGAGAUGAAGAACCUUGUCUGUAUGAAGCACCCAGCUUCAAACACCCACAACUCAAAGGCGGUGAGGUUCAUUUUGGCUCACACUCUCAGUCCAUGGCCAGCGAGCGGUUUCAGGGCACCAAGGCGUGGAGGGCACCAACGAUUGUCAUGGCAACCAGGAAACCGGAGGACAACAGGAGUGGGGAGGAGAUAGCCCCUCCAGGCCACGCCCCCAGGGAGCAUCUCUUUCAAUCAGGCCCCACCUCCCAACACCCAAGAUCCAGCCUCCUUCCCAAGCCUUUGAGACCUUAGGGGACACUCAGAUAUAAACCCUAACCCCAUCGCCGGAAAAUCUGAAGCCAUCUGAAAGCACCCGCGGAUAAGAAGGUGCCUUGGGAAGAAAAGGAGCUCAGGGUCGCGAGGAGACAUCAGCGACUGCAGCAAAGAAGGAAGCAACAAGAUGCCUCUGGUUGAUCACCUUCCCAUGUGAUCCGCAGAGGAAGUGCCACCAAUUUCCAUAACAUUUCCACAGCAGCUGUGACAGCCCUGUCACCCUGAAGGGGUGGAGAGGAGAACUGCAGGAGGCUCCACAUCCGGUCGGGGCUGGACGUCUGCUGAGCCAAGAGCAGGGAGGGGACAGAGCUAAAACCGGCCAGGGAACAUCAUUCAUACAGCGCAUCGUGAGGUCACGUGGACUCAACUCUGUUACCUUACAGGCCCCCACGUGGGACUUCUCAAUCCUGGCCUAAUUGGCAUCUGUCCACCCACCCAUUCACCAUCCAUCCACCCACCCACCAUCCACCCAUCAUCCAUCCACCAUCCAUCCAUCCACCUAUCUACCCAUUCACCAUCCAUCCACCCACCCAACAUCCACCCAUCCGUCCACCCAUCAUCCAUCCAUCCAUCUACCCAGCCAUUCACUCAUCCAUCAAGCCAUCUAUUCAUCUAUCCAUCCAUCGACUAUCCAUCUUUCUGAGACAGGGACCUAGAGAUCUCCAUGGGAAGAAAGGGCAGGUGCCCCCUGCCCCUUAACUCAGAAUGUGUUACAUAUUAAAAGUACAGAAUAUACUCUUCCCUA